rnacentral:lncRNA from 1 species
UUUGUGAUAGGUAUUUAGUUUAUUGAAGAAAAUCCGUAUGGCAGUCACGUAUUUCUUGGUGAAAAAUCGCUUUUUGGAUUAUCCCAUAAGUGGGUAAAUUAUAGCUUGGAUAUGUAUUGUAUUAGGGUACUUAUUGUAUAUGUAUUUGUAUUACAAAUAUAAUUUUUUGUCAUAAGUAUUCAUACCAGAAGUACUUCAAGGACCAGGGUACAUCGUGUGAUGAUGCGAGAUUGGGAUCCGCCCUGUGUUGACUCAUAAAUUAGAACAGUGAACACAGCUGGUGGUAUCUCAGUUUCUUGUCAUUGAAUCAGCAUUCUUCACGUACAUCAACAAGGACUGUGGUUCGAGGGACCAGGAUCUACCACAAGGAAGUUUUGUAUGAAAUGUCCACAAUUAAAUUGUUAUUUAGUCAUUGAAAUAAAAGAUUGUAUAGA